GCGCGGGUGGCGGAAUUGGUAGACGCGCACGUUUGAGGGGCGUGUGCCGCAAGGCAUGGAGGUUCAAGUCCUCUCCCGCGCA
rnacentral:tRNA from 1 species